AACGAACGCUGGCGGCAGGCCUAACACAUGCAAGUCGAGCGCCCCGCAAGGGGAGCGGCGCACGGGUGCCUAACGCGUGGGAAUAUGCCCUUGGGUGCGGAACAACGUCUGGAAACGGACGCUAAUACCGCAUAAUGACUCCGGUCCAAAGAUUUAUCGCCCAAGGAUUGGCCCGCGUUGGAUUAGCUAGUUGGUGAGGUAACGGCUCACCAAGGCAACGAUCCAUAGCUGGUCUGAGAGGAAGAUCAGCCACACUGGGACUGAGACACGGCCCAGACUCCUACGGGAGGCAGCAGUGGGGAAUCUUGGACAAUGGGCGCAAGCCUGAUCCAGCCAUGCCGCGUGAGUGAUGAAGGCCUUAGGGUUGUAAAACUCUUUCGCCGAGGACGAUAAUGACGGUACUCGGAGAAGAAGCUCCGGCUAACUUCGUGCCAGCCGCCGCAGUAA
rnacentral:rRNA from 1 species